CCUACGGGAGGCAGCAGUGGGGGAUAUUGGACAAUGGGGGGAACCCUGAUCCAGCGACGCCGCGUGAGUGAGGAAGUAUUUCGGUAUGUAAAGCUCUGUCAGCAGGGAAGAAAGAAAUGACGGUACCUGACCAAGAAGCCCCGGCUAACUACGUGCCAGCAGCCGCGGUAAUACGUAGGGGGCAAGCGUUAUCCGGAAUUACUGGGUGUAAAGGGAGCGUCGACGGUUAAGUAAGUCUGGAGUGAAAGGCCGGGGCGCAACCCCGGGACUGCUCUGGAAACUAUUAAACUUGAGUGCAGGAGAGGUAAGCGGAAUUCCUAGUGUAGCGGUGAAAUGCGUAGAUAUUAGGAGGAACACCAGUGGCGAAGGCGGCUUACUGGACUGUAACUGACGUUGAGGCUCGAAAGCGUGGGGAGCAAACAGGAUUAGAUACCCCAGUAGUC
rnacentral:rRNA from 1 species